rnacentral:rRNA from 1 species
AGUAACACGUGGGUGACCUGCCUCACACUCUGGGAUAAGCUUGGGAAACUGGGUCUAAUACCGGAUAUGACCUGCCGUCGCAUGGUGGUGGGUGGAAAGCUUUUGUGGUGUGGGAUGGGCCUGCGGUCUAUCAGCUUGUUGGUGGGGUGAUGGCCUACCAAGGCGACGACGGGUAGCCGGCCUGAGAGGGCGAUCGGCCACACUGGGACUGAGAUACGGCCCAG